rnacentral:rRNA from 1 species
AUGGACCAAUCCAUCCCUUUUUCCCGUGCAUAUGCAUCGGACUCAGAUGACGAUGGUCCCGAUGAAGAAGUUGAUGAGGAGGGGUUCACGCCGAAGGAGGCCCAAGCAUUCAAGAAGGUAUUCGGGCGGGAUCACAAGACACCAUUGUUCAAGGAUCUUAGUCUCGCAGAUGAAGCCGUUGUGGAUGGUGGCAAAUGCAUUUCUCUUGGAGUUAGGCCAAGUUCUCACCGUGAUUUCGAAGACCGCAAGAACGGGAUAUAUCCCGGUUGUGAGUUUGAAUCCUUCUUGGAAUUGAAGAUGUGGCUCGACAACUACUAG